rnacentral:rRNA from 1 species
UGGGGAAUAUUGCACAAUGGGCGCAAGCCUGAUGCAGCAACGCCGCGUGAACGAUGAAGGUCUUCGGAUCGUAAAGUUCUGUUGCAGGGGAAGAUAAUGACGGUACCCUGUGAGGAAGCCCCGGCUAACUACGUGCCAGCAGCCGCGGUAAUACGUAGGGGGCUAGCGUUAUCCGGAUUUACUGGGCGUAAAGCGAGCGCAGGCGGUUAGAAAAGUCUGAAGUGAAAGGCAGUGGCUCAACCAUUGUAGGCUUUGGAAACUGUUUAACUUGAGUGCAGAAGGGGAGAGUGGAAUUCCAUGUGUAGCGGUGAAAUGCGUAGAUAUAUGGAGGAACACCGGUGGCGAAAGCGGCUCUCUGGUCUGUAACUGACGCUGAGGCUCGAAAGCGUGGGGAGCGAACAGG